GCCGCUCGCUGCAGCCUGUAGGAAGGCGGAGUUGGACAUCCAACCCCGCCCACAUCCAACUCCGCCCAUGUCCAACUCCGCCUUACGUCUAAAGCAACACCCACCUUACGUCCGCCACGAACGCCUACAUUUACUCCCGGUAAAUAGGAAUUGUAGCCGAGAAAGCAGCUAAAGCAUCUAUCUGAUUUAUAUCUCCGGUUAUGGCGCAUCCAACACAUGUCCAGGCCACUCCUGACCCUUCACGGUUUGGCCAGUGUGGUGUUUUCAAAUGCCCCUGCUUCAGUUUUGACACUGACCAGCGAUUUAAUAACAGCCUACAUCUACAAAACCAUAUCAAACAAGCAGUCGAGAAUAACGGAAAGUUCAGCGUGUUGAACGUGUGACUGAUGAAGGAGAUAGAAUGGGCAAC